rnacentral:lncRNA from 1 species
CCUCGUACACCUGGAUCAGGACGCCCGGCUGGUUGUCCGAGUAGGUGGAGAAGACCUGCUCCUUCUUGGUGGGGAUGGUGGUGUUCCUCGGGAUGAGCGUCGUCAUGACGCCGCCGGCGGUCUCCAGACCCAGGGACAGCGGCGUCACAUCGAGCAGCAGCAGGUCCUGCACCUUCUCGUUGCCCUCGCCGCUCAGGAUGGCGGCCUGGACGGAGGCGCCAUACGCCACUGCCUCGUCAGGGUUGAUGCUCUUGCACAGCUCCUUGCCGUUGAAGAAGUCCUGCAGCAACUGCUGCACCUUGGGGAUACGGGUGGAGCCACCGACCAGCACCACGUCGUGCACGGUGCUCUUGUCCAUCUUGGCGUCGCGGAGGCACUUCUCCACCGGCUCCAUGCACUUGCGGAAGAGGUCCAUGUUGAGCUCCUCAAAGCGAGCCCGGGUGAUGGUGGUGUAGAAGUCCACACCCUCGUACAGCGAGUCGAUCUCGAUGGUGGUCUGGGCCGUCGACGACAGCGUGCGCUUGGCACGUUCGCACGCCGUCCGGAGACGACGCAGAGCGCGGGGGUUGCCGGUGAUGUCCUUCUUGUGCUUGCGCUUGAACUCCUGGACGAAGUGGUUCACCAUGCGGUUGUCGAAGUCCUCUCCACCCAGGUGAGUGUCACCGGCGGUGGCCUUCACCUCGAAGAUGCCCUCCUCGAUGGUCAGCAGAGACACAUCGAAGGUGCCACCACCAAGGUCAAAGAUGAGGACGUUCUUCUCGCCAGUGCUGGUCGCCUUCUUGUCAAGGCCAUAGGCGAUGGCAGCAGCAGUGGGCUCGUUGAUGAUGCGCAGCACGUUCAGCCCGGCGAUAGCACCGGCGUCCUUGGUGGCCUGGCGCUGGGAGUCGUUGAAGUAGGCCGGGACGGUGACCACGGCGUUCUUGACAGAGUUGCCGAGGAAGGCCUCAGCAAUCUCCCUCAUCUUGAUGAGCACCAUGGAGGAGAUCUCCUCCGCUGCGAACUGUUUCUCCUCGCCCUUGUAGUUGACGACGAUCAUGGGCUUGUCUGCCGGGCCAGGGAUGACCUUGAAGGGCCACAGCUUCAUGUCACUCUGCACGGAGGGAUCAGAGAACCUCCUGCCAAUCAGCCGCUUCGCAUCUGCAACCGGAAACAGAGGAACAGAACAUUUGAGUUGCAUGGUUCAGCAAUGAACUGAAAUGAAGCAGAACAUUUCAAGAUUCCACAGAGAUUAAUAAUCCAAGCAAGCUGUUUCUUCAGAACAAGGAGGUGCAUUCAGUAAGCUACUGCAGACUGGGACUGUUCCAGAAGGAUAACCGAGAACAGAAAUUUAAAAUUAACAAGCAUAAUUUCAAUCCUAAGGUAGCUUGCGAGUUGCGAACAUAAUUCAAACUGAAACUUCUGAACGAUUUAAUUUCAGGAUGUAACGAUACAGCGAAACCCUAAGGUAGCCUGACGACAUAAUUCAAGUAGCCUUUUCUGGAGGAUGUAUAACUUGAAAAUCUAGUUCUACAGUAGAACUAAUUUUCAUCUACAGCAUCCCAACUUAAUUAUAUCCCUCCAUUCUGAAGGAUCCACUACUGAACCAUGCAAAACAAACAACUGAGUACCUUCAGAACAAAAAAAUUACAGCAUUUCGAACAGUAUAAAACAAAGAGCAGCCAUGCCAAUAAAAUAACAAUAAAUUCUGUGAUACAUCAGAGAAACAAGGGACUGCAGCACAGAUUCGACAGCAGUUACAUCUAAUUUAAAUAAGACUAGAUCUAUAGCGUAUUUUCAAUCAUAAGGUAGGAUCCCAACUUAAUUCAAGCCAUCCAUUCCUAAGGAUCUAAUUUGACAAUCUAACAUAGAACAGAUCUCACAUACAAGGGACUACAGCAUGCCAAACAACAGAGAAUAAAACAUGCAGAUAUGAAGGAAUAAUAAAUCUGUAAUUAAUCUCAGAGACAAGGCACUGCAUGACGAAUUCGACAGCAGCCGCAUCCGACUAUUCAGAACAAAUCAUAUCACAUCGUGCGGGUAAGAACAGAACAGGGACCGCACGCAACCACGGAGAUCUCAUCUAACAGACGAUGCAUGAUACACAGCGGGUCAAGAGGGAGGGAGGGAGGGUGGCACGUACCGAAGACGGUGUUGGUGGGGUUCAUGGCGACCUGGUUCUUGGCGGCGUCGCCGAUGAGGCGCUCGGUGUCGGUGAAGGCGACGUAGGAGGGCGUGGUGCGGUUGCCCUGGUCGUUGGCGAUGAUCUCGACGCGGUCAUGCUGCCACACGCCGACGCAGGAGUAGGUCGUCCCGAGGUCGAUGCCGAUCGCCGGCCCCUCGCCCUUGGCCAUCUCCGCCUCCUCUCCUCUCCUUGGAAUCGCUCGCUCGCUUUGGGGGUUCGCCGGAAGACGGUAACGGCGGCGCUCUCUGUGUUUCGCCUGGUGCGAUUUGCUUUGCCU